GAGAGGAAAGCUGAAAGGAAGGAACAAAGAGAUGGAGGGAGAGAACGAGAGGAGCGGAGUCUUUGGAGGGCAGCUGGAAAGCCUCCAGAAUCCUCCGCUCAAACCAACCAUAAAAUUCCAACUGAAGCCACAAAACCAGUACGAGGACUGACGAGGGUGCCUUCUGCCCACAAUGGGUGUGUGUGUGUCUGCAUUUGUGUGUGUCUGUGGUGUGCACACAUUUACUUGUGUGUGUAUGCCAUAUGUGAUUAAAGGGUCCGAGCAGAGGAGGCCAGGAGGCAGACGAGUGAUGCAAUCCACGGAAGCGAAGGAGAGGACACGAGGGCGGCAGGAAGGAAGGGAGGGAAGAGAGGAAGGAGGGAUUGUUGCUUCUGGGGAUCCAGCUCUCCAGGAAUGUGCUGACGGUCAUGUCCCACACAGUCUGGGAGAGUGUUGCAUUCUGGGAAGCUCUGCGGAGGCUGGAGGCCCGAAUCCACCCUCACGUAGCAGCAGAUCUAUUUUGGUGUGAGCCACACAAUGUCCACAAGCACCCACACAGGCUCGGUGGGUAAGGUGAUUGUGCACAUUUUGUCAUGUUGUUUGUGAGCCGUGGAACGUCAGCGCGGAUAUUUUUGGUCGUGUGGAGGAGUCUACCCAGAGAGGAGCAAACACGAGCCAACGUCGGCAGCAGAGUGUUUUGUUUGCUGAGCCCAUCACCUUUCAGCGAGCAUUUGCACCUCGUCGUCUUCACUGACAACGUGAUGAUGUAUCUGCGGGAAUUUCAUAUGUUACUGGACAGAACGGCAGUGCAGCUGGCUAAAGCAUGCAAUGAACUGGCAACUUCUGAACCCUAGACAUCCGCUCUCCCCAGCUGUACUCUGCACUUUCGAAUAACAUUAAAUGCCCCGGAGUUAUUUGAAAAGUCAACCAGUAUCACUGCCGAAAGUAGAUUAA